CUUGCACUUGGAAAAAGAGAUGAUGUUGAAUGUUGCAGUUCAGAAAAUUGAAAGAGUAAUACCCUCCAAUUCCUUGGAUGAUGUAACAGAAAUAUCAGUGGNCAAAACUUGUCACCACCUCAAGUAGUAGUGGACUGACUCUUUUGAGUUAAUUUCUUUCCUUGUUCUCCCCUUCUUGCUUGUCUUUGUAAAAUUCUUGUAACUUCGGCCACGGAGUUGGAUAUUGACGCAGAUUUGGUAUCUAACAAAACCGAAUGGCAAUAAAGA
rnacentral:misc_RNA from 1 species